GACGAACGCUGGCGGCGUGCUUAACACAUGCAAGUCGAACGGAAAGGCCCCCUUGCGGGGUACUCGAGUGGCGAACGGGUGAGAAACACGCGAGUAACCUACCCUCGACUCUGGGAUAACGUCAGGAAACUGGGGCUAAUACCGGAUAGGAGCUCCUGCUGCAUGGUGGGGGUUGGAAAGCUUCGGCGGUUGGGGAUGGUCUCGCGGCUUAUCAGCUUGUUGGUGGGGUAGUGGCUCACCAAGGCUUUGACGGGUAGCCGGCCUGCGAGGGUGACCGGCCACCUUGGGACUGCGCUGCGGCCCGGACUCCUGCGGGAGGCAGCAGUGGGGAAUAUUGCACCAUGGGCGGAAGCCUGAUGCAGCAGCGCCGCGUGCGGGAUGACGGCCUUCGGGUUGUAUACCGCUUUCGCCUGUGACGAAGCGUGAGUGACGGUAAUGGGUAGAGAAGCACCGGCUAACUACGUG
rnacentral:rRNA from 1 species